AACGAACGCUGGCGGCAGGCUUAACACAUGCAAGUCAAACGCCCCGCAAGGGGAGUGGCAGACGGGUGAGUAACGCGUGGGAACAUACCCUUUCCUGCGGAAUAGCUCUGGGAAACUGGAAUUAAUACCGCAUACGCCCUACGGGGGAAAGAUUUAUCGGGGAAGGAUUGGCCCGCGUUGGAUUAGCUAGUUGGUGGGGUAAAGGCCUACCAAGGCGACGAUCCAUAGCUGGUCUGAGAGGAUGAUCAGCCACAUUGGGACUGAGACACGGCCCAAACUCCUACGGGAGGCAGCAGUGGGGAAUAUUGGACAAUGGGCGCAAGCCUGAUCCAGCCAUGCCGCGUGAGUGAUGAAGGCCUUAGGGUUGUAAAGCUCUUUCACCGAUGAAGAUAAUGACGGUAGUCGGAGAAGAAGCCCCGGCUAACUUCGUGCCAGCAGCCGCAGUAACAC
rnacentral:rRNA from 1 species